GAUGAACGCUGGCGGCGUGCCUAAUACAUGCAAGUCGAGCGAACAGAUGGGGAGCUUGCUCCUCUGACGUUAGCGGCGGACGGGUGAGUAACACGCGGAUAACCUACCCAUAAGACUGGGAUAACUUCGGGAAACCGGAGCUAAUACCGGAUAAUAUAUUGAACCGCAUGGUUCAAUAGUGAAAGACGGUUUUGCUGUCACUUAUAGAUGGAUCCGCGCCGCAUUAGCUAGUUGGUAAGGUAACGGCUUACCAAGGCAACGAUGCGUAGCCGACCUGAGAGGGUGAUCGGCCACACUGGAACUGAGACACGGUCCAGACUCCUACGGGAGGCAGCAGUAGGGAAUCUUCCGCAAUGGGCGAAAGCCUGACGGAGCAACGCCGCGUGAGUGAUGAAGGUCUUCGGAUCGUAAAACUCUGUUAUUAGGGAAGAACAAAUGUGUAAGUAACUAUGCACGUCUUGACGGUACCUAAUCAGAAAGCCACGGCUAACUACGUG
rnacentral:rRNA from 1 species